rnacentral:rRNA from 1 species
UGAGGAAUAUUGCGCAAUGGGCGAAAGCCUGACGCAGCGACGCCGCGUGGGGAUGAAGUCUUCGGAUUGUAAACCCUUCGGUAGGGAAGGACGCCUAGACAACUAAGGCGGACGGUACCUCCAGAAGCAGCCACGGCUAACUUCGUGCCAGCAGCCGCGGUAAUACGAAGGUGGCAAGCGUUGUUCGGAUUUACUGGGCGUAAAGGGAGCGUAGGUGGUUAGGUAAGCCCUCCGGGAAAUCUUCAGGCUUAACCUGAAAAGGUCGGGGGGGACUGCCUAGCUAGAGGGCGGGAGAGGAGCGCGGAAUUCCCGGUGUAGCGGUGAAAUGCGUAGAGAUCGGGAGGAAGGCCGGUGGCGAAGGCGGCGCUCUGGAACGUUUCUGAUACUGAGGCUCGAAAGCGUGGGGAGCAAACA